UACGAAGGGGGCUAGCGUUGCUCGGAAUUACUGGGCGUAAAGCGCACGUAGGCGGCUCUUUAAGUCGGAGGUGAAAUCCUGGAGCUCAACUCCAGAACUGCCCUUCGAUACUGUAGAGCUUGAGUUCGGGAGAGGUGAGUGGAACUGCGAGUGUAGAGGUGAAAUUCGUAGAUAUUCGCAAGAACACCAGUGGCGAAGGCGGCUCACUGGCCCGAUACUGACGCUGAGGUGCGAAAGCGUGGGGAGCAAACAGG
rnacentral:rRNA from 1 species